CCUACGGGAGGCUGCAGUGGGGAAUAUUGGACAAUGGGCGAAAGCCUGAUCCAGCCAUGCCGCGUGUGUGAAGAAGGCCUUCGGGUUGUAAAGCACUUUCAGUGGGGAAGAAAGCCUUGGGGCUAAUACCCUCGAGGAAGGACAUCACCCACAGAAGAAGCACCGGCUAACUCCGUGCCAGCAGCCGCGGUAAUACGGAGGGUGCGAGCGUUAAUCGGAAUUACUGGGCGUAAAGCGCGCGUAGGCGGUCUGAUAAGCCGGUUGUGAAAGCCCCGGGCUCAACCUGGGAACGGCAUCCGGAACUGUCAGGCUAGAGUGCAGGAGAGGAAAGUAGAAUUCCCGGUGUAGCGGUGAAAUGCGUAGAGAUCGGGAGGAAUACCAGUGGCGAAGGCGGCCUUCUGGACUGACACUGACGCUGAGGUGCGAAAGCGUGGGUAGCAAACAGGAUUAGAUACCCCAGUAGUC
rnacentral:rRNA from 1 species